ACAUUAUGUGUUUCUUGUCUCUUUAGCAACCUGUGUGUGUACGUUUUACAAGUUCAGACAUCCACUGAAUUAACUUAUGUAAAAGAUAGCUUCGGUGAAGAUCGAGUCUCCAUAAAUAAUCCCUUCUUGUAUUACUACACACACGUUUGUUAGUUAGUUAGGAAAGUUUCAGUCAAGAACCUCACCACUCCUAUAACACCGUUUUUGGGCUAUAUGGGUCAUGUUGUUAGGGGAUGGUUGCGGUAAAUGGAUUCAGAGUAGGUCGAGUGCUUUAGCUAUAUAAAGCUAGGAACGUUAAAACCAACGUCAAAAAAUCAAUGCUGGCGUCAUUAUCAGAAGCAUUUCAACUUUUUUUUUAACUACAUUAGUUUACAGAGAGGUGUACACAUUUUUGGUUUUUAUAAUAAAAAUGAAAAGCCCUUGCAGGCUAAAAGAUUCUUGUUUGUCAUGUGUAAUUUUUAAUAAUAGAAAAAAAAAAGUUGACCGAAAAUGUUGUAAGCAACCCAGAAAGUUCUGUUGACAGUACUGCAGACCCAUCAAGUUCUGUUGAAACUGCAGAAAGAACUGCAAAAAAAUGCUGCAGGUGCAGAUGUGGAAUGGAACAUUUUUGACAUGUUUCAACUGAUUGUAUAAUUGUUUUUUAAAAAAAGACAAAAGUUAGAACAAACCAACGUGUUACUGUUAGCGGGCAAAGCAAAGGUCAUAAGUUUAAGAUGCCCAAAGCGGUAAAAAAAACGCAAGCCGAUCAGACUUUAGAAUCAGAUGCUUGUAAAAAAUUAACCUGUGAAAAUCAUUACUUUAAAACAAUACUGCACUACAUUUAACAUCCAUAAGAAAAAAACGAAGACGUUUUUGCAUAUCAAUUUAUUAAAUAUUAUUGCGAUUUUUUAGAAAUGUGUUAUUAUACCUGCGAUACGACUAAAGUUUAAUGAAGUUUAAGAUAUCUAAGAUUUGACCAUAAAGUUGGAUCCUACCAGUUUAAAACAAAAAAAAGCAAUGGAAGUAGGCGAAAGGAACAAAAAGGUUAUGACUACGUUCAUCGGUAUUAGCCUUAUUCAUGUCGCGGGGGAAUGGUGACGAGUAAGGCACUUGUCGGGAAAAAAAUAAACAUAAUGGUAGUUGUCAAAAGUAAAUAAAGGCGUUAUUCUAGGCAAAAAGGUUUUAAUAAAGCAGAAAAAGUAUUACACACAAUGGUUAAAUGGUUUUGUUCCUCAGCGUUGUGCUUUAAUAAUUAUAACUCGACAGAUUCAAAUAACGAGCCUAUGAAAUACUAUCGUUUACCUCGUGAUCCAGAAAUACAAACAAAGUACAAACAAAUUUUUAAAACAUGUGGUAUAAAUUUUACAAAGGGACAUAUUUGUGCUGCUCAUUGGAGUUCUGGAAAACGAAUGACAUCCUCUGAUUUACCAGAGGUUGCAGUUCCAGAAGAACAGUAUGAGAAGUUACAUCAAAAACUUAUCACUGCAAAGGACUUGCUAUCUUCUUAUAAAAAUCCGUCUCAACAAAUUAAAAAUCGAUACAAAAAUGCUAAACGAAAAUAUGAAAUAGCAACUGCUUUGAUCUCCACAACACCUAAAUCAAGUAGAACACCACCAACAAAGAAAAAUGAAGACAACACAAGAAGACCUAGAACACGAACACUAUCUAAAAAACAGUAUAAUCGUAAAUUGGAACUAGCUAACCUAAAAAUUUCACAGCUAUUAAAAGACCUCAAGGAUGCUAAUUCUAAAAUUUCAAAACUUGAAGAUGAAACUAUUAAAGCUAAAAAAGAAAUACGCAAACUAAAAAAAAUGAACUUUAUCAUAAACAAUAAAUUAAACCAUUCAUAUCAAGAAAUAUCUAAUAUGAAGAAAAGAGAAUUUACUCACACCAAUUUAAUAAAACAGCCAACUACCUUUCAAUACCUAUGUGGUUUGACAUUAGAACAGUUCGAUAUCAUACUACAAUGUUCUCUACCCUAUAUUCACUUAAUUCCUUACCCCGACUGUGUUGGUAAAGAAGAACAAUAGAUACUGCCACAGAACUUUUACUCAUAUUAACGAUAUGUCGUCAUGGCAUCCACCAUGGAAUAAUGGGUUUUAUGAUUGGAAAAUCUACAGCGACUGUCCAAAGAAUUUUUAUUGGAUGGGUGAUUUUCUUAUCGACACUUUUUAGCCAAAUUAAUUUAAAACCACCCUCUGGAUUCCUUCUGCAAAAGAUGCCUGAUAUCUUUGUAAAAACAGGGCAUGGUUUAACAGAUUUAAUUAUAGAUGUUACAGAAUUUAAAUUCCAAAGUGCAUCAAACUUCGAACUCAAUUCACUUAUGUUUUCAAACUAUAAAAACACUCAAACAGGAAAAGCUCUUAUUGGGAUAGCUCCACAUGGCGGUGGAAUACUUUUCAGUGACAUUUAUCCUGGCUCCAUAUCUGACUCUGCAAUUACUGAAAAAUAUGGUGCAUUGUUAUUGGUGGAUGAAGAACACGAAAUAAUGAGCGAUAGGGGAUUUUCAAUUCAAGAAUUGUGUGCUGUUCGUGGUGUUACAUUAAAUAGGCCUAAGCAAAAAUCAAAAGACCAGUUUGACGAAAUCGAUGUGGCAACUAAUUUUGAUAUUGCAGCGACACGAAUUCACGUUGAACGAUAUAUCGGAAGAGUACGAAAUUGGGGAAUUUUGAAUUCUAUUUGGCCGAUUAAUCGUAUUGAUAUUCUUAGUUCAACAUGGCAAAUGAUUUGUCAUAUUGUUAACUUAACAAUGCCCCCUAUAGGUCCUAAAGAAGCUAACAAUUCUUAAAGUUAAAUACAUAUAUAUAUACAUAAUAUACAUUAGAAUUUGUUAAAAUAUCUAUUGCAUAGCAUGCUUUAAUUCAUCUAUAAAAUUUACUUUUGGUACAGCUUUGCAAUUUUUUGUAAUAAAGGUCCUCACAGAUCUUAGCAUCUUAAAGUUUGGUAUUUUCCCAACAAUCGCCUUUCCAAAUUGUUGUAGUUCAAAAUAUCUACGUGAACCCAUUCUAAUAUUUGAACAUCAUCAUAAAUGCAAUCUAUUAUCUGAACAACGAUUUCCAUCAGUGUAUUGUUUCGUUUAAUGAGAAAAAAAUUUGGAGUGGCAGUUUCAGGAUGGUAUGACUGCAAGAUACAAAACUCAGCAUUAGUACAACUCAUUUGUAGUUGGCAUUGGAUAAAGUACUGCGGAAACUUUGCAAUUGAUGUUAAUGGUCCAAUGCUUUUUUUUGCUCUUGUUUUUACUUCUAGUAAUAUACCAAGAGGUCCCACAGCAUCUGGGCUUGAACCAUAUCUUGAAUUUAUUGGGUGAUGAAAAUAUCCACACCUCUCUGUAGUACAAUUGGCCCCAUGCUCAAAAUGCUUAACUGCAAUGUCUUCAAAAUAAUGGCCACGUUUUAUAUUUCGAAUAUGAUUUUGGUUUGGCUCGGUUUUUCCUGUUUUUAUCAUAUCCCAUGUCACCUCAUAUUUUGAACUCCCGUAUAGUCCUAAAAGAGCUGGCAGACUUCCAGUAACUUUGUAUUUUCGCAGUUCUAACCAAUCGUUUGUGUUUUGGGUCACAUGUUGGUAGUUAUCACCAUGUGGUUUCGGUGCUGUCAAAAAGCACAAAUCUAUUUCGAUUACUGAUGCUUUACUUUCUAUUUGAGUAUUGAUUUUAUUAUGAAGAGGAAUAUUUGAGAGGUCCUUGUAUGUCAUGAUUGGAUUUACUAUUUCUAAUUCCAGUUCGUUUUGUUCAAGUAUUUUAUCUGUAGUUAUUUUAUUUAUUUCACUGUUUGUGUUUUUUUCUGGCAAGAAGUCACUGAUAUAUUGUUUAUCUAUUGUUUUUUGGAUUCCUUCUGAUUUCUGUGGCUCGAUGUCAAUAACUUUUGAAUCAAAUAAAGGUGUUUUACAAUAAUCAUGAUCAGCUAAUGAAUUUGCCAAUGUCAAAUGGUAUUUAUAGUUUAGCAUGAUUCCAACUGAGGAAGCUCUCCCUACUUUUGAAUUAUUAAGAACGUUUUGAAUAUGAUCCUCAACUGAUUUUUCAUUUUUUAGUUUAUUUUAAAAUAUGAACCACCAGGGUCAGCAGCAUUGAUGUUUAAUUUAUUGUCCUUCAGCUUCAUACUAGCAGACUUAGGUUUAAUUUCAGCUAAGGGAACCAUAGGUAUUGACCCUUUUUGUGAUCUCCUGUGCCACUUCUGAAUUUGUUGAGUACAUGUUAGCUCUAACAGUUUUUCUUUGGUAUCGUAAUAGUGUUUUAGGAACAGCAAUAGGGCAAGUACAUGGCAACAUAGCCCACUUAAACCAACUGGGCAAGAACAAUGUGCUUUCUGGGGAACUGAAUUUUCAAAUAAAAUGACUGCUGGUCUUAUUUGAGUACCAUAGGAUUUUUUAAUUAUUCCUUUAACAUAAAUUUUAUCGUUAUCUUUUAUUGUUUUAACAGAAACGAUUUUCCUGCUUUGCAACAUCCGCACUGCUUUUUCUUGCUGGCCUUUACUUCCCUGAGAUUUAUUUAAACAGUACGUUUUGAACACUUCUUCAUUUAUCGUUGAAUAAUUAUGCUCAUCGCUGUUCCAUUUGGCAGUGACAGGGGGUAUAUGUAGUGGGUCUAAGCUACAGUUAAAUUUGUAUUGUCUUUUGCACUUCGCUUUCAGUCUUUCAUAAAGUUUUGGAUAUAGGCAGAAUUUUCUUAAUUUUAUUUUCAUGUCAUCUGUAGUACCAGAGCAAUGUUGGCCUAUUUCUUUUAAUUUUCCCAUGCAUUCCUCACGAGUCAACGAAGAAACGGUUUCUUGGUUCAUUUUUAUAACAAAAUUUCAAAUUUUAAAGCAUAAAUAGUUGCAUUUUAAUUCACAAGUAAGCGAGUUAGUCAACUAGUUACAGUUGUUUACACUUAAAGCUACCCUUUUGAUUAUUUUUUACCGACAACUUGGGAAAUCACUGCCUGACCGCGUUACAUGAAUAAGGCUAAUAGAAUUAACAAAGGAGACUAAACCCAAAAUGCAAUUCCGUGGUAUUAGUAUUUAGACUAGCAGGGGACCCCGAGUCGAAACGCCGGGUUAAGCCACUAGUAACUGUGUUACCCCGCGUUGAAUGCCUGGAAGAGCGAUUAAUAAGAAAUGUAAACUGUGCCACACAUUUAGGUGGAGCGCUUUAGUAUAGUAUGUCAUAAAUCUAGUAAGGCGCAGAACAUGGUGUUUCCGGUGUAAUAUAAUUUUAAAAAAGUAGGCGCACAACAUUAUGGUGUUUCCAGUGUAAUAUAUUUUUCAAAAAAUAACUUUCCACAACUUUAGCUGAAAAAAAACACAAUUUACAACUCGUUGCUACCCUGUUAUAGAGCAAAAACAGUUUGCCAACCUUUAUUAUUUUUCAGAGAACGUUCCCGCUAAAAGUUCAAAAAUAAAUAUUACUCCGGGAUGAGUAAUUGUACAGGCAAACAAUGUCGCAUAGGUAUAAUACUCAUUUUAAAAAAAACUUUAUUGUAACUUCGGUUAAACAGAAGCACAGGAAAAGCCAUCAUUAACAUUGGACUGAGCACUUAGUACAGGUUGUACAGGUAAACUGUGUCGUCGUUAGGCGUAAUACCCUUUAUAAAAAAACUUUGAUGUAACUUCGGUUUACGUAAUAACACAGGAUACACACUGUUAACACUUGGCUAAUACAGGUAAACCGUGUUGCAUAUCCAUAUAGGCGUCAAACCCCUUGAAAAAACUUAUCACAGCUUCAAUUUAAACAAAACAACAGGAAAUAAUCUGUUGCUAACAACGGGCUGUGCGCUUAGUACAGGUAAACAGUAUUGCACAUGUGUUUAGGCGCAAUACCCUUAUCCAAAAGAAAAUUAUUGCAACUUCAGUUUAAAUUAAUAAACAGGCAACAGACUGUCGUUACGCCCUCUAGCUAAAAAAAAUCCUCCAGCAAUUUUAUUUUGUUGAGUAAUUUUUAUAACAGUAAUAAAAGGUGUUUCUACCUAAACUGCAUUUAGUAUAAGAAAUAUUGAUUAAGAAUUUUGUUUAGCUAGCAAGCCAAACUGCAUUUGGUUACUUUUACUAUUCACCCAGGUAACUAAAGAGGUAGCUAGCCAAAACCCCAACAUAAAAAUAAAUAAUAGUAUAACCAAACUUUAAAAGAAUAAGAAUAAAUAAGGCUAGGUACAGCUUAAGCAGGAUGCUGCCUUGAAAUCUACGUUUGUAGCUAGCUAAAAUCUUAAAAUUGAUUUGUUUCAGAUUUACACAUGGCUAGAAAACGUAAUAGUGAGGGCCACUAUGUAAUUUUGUGUGCACAUGUGUGUUAAAAGUGAUUUUUUGAUUUAAAGUUGUUCCUUAGGUCCCAAAUUACCAAAAAAAAAAAUGGGUGGCAAAAAUGUUUGUCCCAUGGGACCAAAUUAGAUGACGUCAUCAUUUUCACAGUCAGCAAAAAUAUAAUUUCACAUUUAUAUGUCAUAUUAUAUAUGGUUGGAAAGAGUAGAUCGAGUGGAUCAAAAAACAUGUAAGAACCAUGUCUUCAAAACGUAAUUUUCGAAAGAUAUUACUAUUUAAACUUUGUAGAAAUUACAGACCAGUAAUUUACUGACCCAACACAAAACUUACUAUAACCUGCUCAAUAGCGAAGUUUUUUUGUUGAAUUUUGGUAUGGUAUUGGGUAGAUUUUCCAAGAUCUUUAAAAGUUACUAUUUUCACUUUUUUAACGGUACCCAUAUCGAUUUUUUUACUUUUAUUCUCUCCGUGACAAAUUCUUCAUAUCAUUUUGAGACAAUAUCAGCAUGUUGAAGUAUUUGUGAAUUGUGAAGAACAGCUUUUGAAACAACAUUAAAUACACAAUCGGAUUGUCGGAAGUUGACAUCGAAGUCAUCCAUGGUACAAAGCAAUUUAUUGACGUUAGAAGCUAUCCUGCUACAUGUUGAGCCACUAUUGGUAGUGUUGCUUUCUUUGAUCAACAUUCAAAGGUCUUUCGAUAAUGAUGCAAGUAUAGGAGAAACAAGGCAAAAUCUGUUCAAUGUAUGUGGUUGUUGUAACAAUCCUUUAAUGCCUCCACCUUCAUUACCUUAUUCUCCUGCUCCAUUGCGUGAUCCGGCCCAAUGGUAGUGAAUGGUAUAUUGAUUUUGGCAACUGCGAAAUUCUCUUUCAAAUAGGACCAGGUCUUCAUGUCUGUUUCUUCUAAAUUCUUCAUGUCUGCCAGUUACAAAGGUGUUAAUCGGGCGUAAUUAAUUUGAUUGCGGGCGAAAAAAUAUUUUACUAAAUCACUCAAAGAGACAAGAUGUAAUUCCCAAAAUCCUUGUCGCGUAGCACGAACGAAAAGUAAAAGAGAUUCAUACAUUUUCAUGAAAUUUCGCAAAAACAGAGAUUGAUGAUCCAUAGCCUUGUCGAAUUGGGAAAACUUUUCAAAAAUCCCAAUUCUUUCACAAAGUUCAAUAAACUGUUUGUGUUUGCUCCUUACAUUCAACUUUGUCAGAACAUUUUAUGUUUGAGAAUUCUUCCCUUGCAACUCGAACAUCACACAUAAAAUUACACAUCUUGGUCAAAAUAUCAAACAAAAAAUCUUUCUCUCAAAAAACGGUACCUUUUUUGAUGCAUCUUUCUAGCACUUCCAUUUUAAUUCGGUCUAUUCAUUUUAUUAUUAUGCAUGUAUGUCUAUACUAUAAACUUCAUAUUACACUUCACUAACAUUUCGAUAUUAAACAGUCUAGCUAUGAAAUUGAACAAUAGAUUAUUUUCUAGAAAUAGAACAUUCGAAUUCUAUGUCUAUGUCUAUUAAAUCGAACAAUUAUAAAACAAAACUUGUUAUCAUACUGAUACUAAUACAUACAAAAUGUCUAAGUGAAAUUCGCCACUUGCUUUUCAAAACUAAAGUAAACAACUAAAAACGUGCUUUGGUCUGUAAUUUACUGGUCUGUAAAUUAUCCCCUGAAGUGAUUUGAACAAUAGAUUUUGAUCAAACAGAAAGACAUUAAGACAUACAUGCAUAUUAAAAAACUUCGCUAUUGAGCAGGUUAUAGUCAUUUUUGUGCUGGGUCAGUAAAUUAACGGUCUGUAAUUUCUACAAAGUUUGAAUAGUAAUAUCUUUUAAACGUUACGUUUUGAAGACAUGGUUCUUACUUUUUUUUUGAUCCACUCAAUCUUCUCUUUCCAACCAUAUAUAACAUGACAUAUAAAUGUGAAAUUAUUUUUUGCUGAUGGAAAAGUGAUGACGUCAGCUAAUAUGGUCCCAUGGGACAAAAAUUUUUGCCACCCAUAUUUUUUUGGUAAUUUGGCACAAGUCAAAAAAUCACUUUUAACACAUGUGCACACGCAGCUUUAUAUCAGAACAUGCAGCCUCACUAUAAUGAUAUUUUAUCUUAAUAUGUGAAAACAUAGACACAAUAAAGAGAAUAUCCUAAAUGUUCAUUGAACUGAAAUUUAGGCAGUUAAAUAAUUAUACUAACCCAACCAAAUAUUUUUCCUCACUUCAAAAAAUUUAAAGGAGUAUCUAGCAUAGCUUAUCACAUAAUAUUAUAAUAACAGUUUACAACAAUAUUUGUGAUCAAAUUCGUAGGGCAGUCUUCAUUCUUUACGAUUAUCAAGAUACGCACAAAGCCGGCGUAGCGCUAAAUCGCGGGGUCAGGUCGGACUUUAAAAGCCAUGACGUUACGGCAAUCGGUUAAAAAUCGCUCGAAGUAGAAGAUGAAGAAGAAGAAGAAUAAAAUGGAAGUAAGAUCUGAUGCUAAAUUCUCCUAACCCUACCGCGAAAUUGUUAGUGGGACCGAGUAAACGAAGUAAACCGAAAUAAAACAAUGAACACACAUUUAUUACGGGAAAAAUCAAUUUGAUAUUUCUAAUCAGAAUUAUCUACAUGUUGUUCUAAAAGAUUCAAUGAAUGUUUUCCUCGUGCGCCACGAAAACCACGCACACCACGAAUACCACGUCCUCUGUAGGCUAAAAUACAAAAUAAACUAAUUAUGAGUCAAAUAUUCGGGUAAGUUGAGGCUGGGACAGCAUUAGAUCAUGCUUCGAUUUUAUUCAUAAAAUCCCAAUUACAUUGCGGCCGCUAGCGGCCUUACGUAAUUAAGGAUUUUUAUUUCAUAAAAUCUCCGUGAUUUACUGCUGAAUUCUCCUAACCCUGCCACCAACAUCCUCAGUUUCAAGCGUUUCCAUAAUAGCAUGCAGAUACUCUUUUGCCUCGCUUAUUACAAAUUUGUGAUAAUGCUUUUGCCAAGUGGAAUCGCCUGACCAUUUGCCCCUAUUAAGAAUUUGCUGUAAAGAUAAGCCACUGACACUUGCUUUAGAAUUUGACGCUGAUCUAGUCGAAUGUGCCUUAAACUGAUUUGUGUCAAUCCCGGCCAUGGAUAGAAUACUUUUUAUCCAUCAUGCAAUAGUGGAUUUCUUAACCUCGUUGCGUGGAUUUACUGCACUUAAAAGUAAUUGUGUUUGACCUAACUUUCUCCACUGUUUUGAUAAUUUUAAGUAAAAAUCUAAAGUCUUUACCUCACAUAGUUUUUCCUCAGUUGGAUAAGAAGCAAAUUCCACUGAGGGCGGUGCUUUGCCCUUCCGCCAACUUUUUAUUAAUUUGUUAAAAGUAAAUUUAUGAAAGUCUCGAGAGUUAACCGUAAACUUUAUGUCUGAAAAACAAAUCUCCGAACAUCUAGAUGCAGCCGAGAGAGCUAAAAACAUCGAUUAUUUUUUUACUAACAUAUAUGGUGGUAAAUGGUCAUUAAGACCAUAAGAAAUUUUUUUACUGUCUCAAUAUAGUGGGGGCCACUAUGUACCAAUAUCAAGCUUCGUGUGCCGGACUUGUUAGAAGCAAUUUUAUGAUUAAAAUGAGUUCAUUGAUAGGUCAGGAGUAAAAAAAAACAUUCGAUAGAGCAUAAAAAAUGCUUCAAAAAAGUAUAAUAAAUAUAUCGUCAAAAUCAACCAUUACAGAGGUACGGGGGUUUAAAAAUACGGAAAUCAGAAGGUAAUAUUUAUAUAAAACUUGUUUUAUUUUUGUGUGAAUGUAGUCAAAACCCUCUCUAGUUUUUAUUAUUUGUUUAGAUCACUACUGGCCUGACUUAAAAGACACCAUUACAUUCAAUGAGUGAUAUAAAAUUGUAAUUUUCAUUCCAGAAUCAAUACCUCGUGCUUGUAAUAACCCCCUGGAAAUAAUAAAAUGAUAGUUCUGAGCCCAUUUCUGGGAAAAAGGACAUGAAUCUAUAUUCAAUUUGGGACCAAUUAAAAUCCAUUGGAGCAAUGUCUUCAAUGCAAUCGGUGGUUCAUAACCACUGUAGUCCCCUUUAAAUUUCCAAUUCCUUGACUUAGGAAUUUCUUUUCGAAAUAAUGCAGCAGCAUCAAAUAUUUCACCAAAGUUAUCAGGUGAGUUGUGGUAUGUAUCAAUAGCAACCUCGUGAGACAUCGUUCAGCAUAUUACUUCUGCGUGACGUCUAGAUUUUGGACGAGUGAAAACUAUACCGUGGAUACUGUCUGUUAGCAAACGCUUGAGAUAUCUCUUAUGAUUUAAAUGUUUCUCUACAGGAUUUCCUAAUAAGUUGUUAUAGGUAGUGUAUCCUGUGUACUUAUAGUGCGGAGACAAAUAACAAGAUCGGAAUCGAAAAAUUUACGUUCUUUCGACGUGUUUCCGAAUGUUGGCGUGUUAUUAGCGUAGCGAAAAGAAUUCCGUUCUCGUCAUUAUUUGAGUUGUGGUAUAUAUCAAUAGCAACCUCGUGAGACAUCGUUCAGCAUAUUACUUCUGCGUAACGUCUAGAUUUUGGACUAGUAAAAACUAUACCGUGGAUACUUUCUGUUAGCAAACGCUUGAGAUAUCUCUUAUGAUUUAAAUGUUUCUUACUGGAUUUCCUAAUAAGUUUUUAUAGGUAGUGUAUCCUGUGUACUUAUGGUGCGGAGACAAAUAACAAGAUCGGAAUCGAAAAAUUUACCGACUCCUGACUUAGUUAAAAGAAUUACGUAGACAUAAAUCUCUUUUGCCGACCCCUUCGUCGUUGGUAACCAGGUCUUCACAAGAAAUCCAGAAAUAACUAAUGCGGAGGUGAACGCCGACGGAGCACGGAUGAAGCAAGUCUGCAAAACUGCACUUACAGGCGGAAUAGACAUUUUAUCAUGGAUUUAAUUGUAGAUAAUUUCUUCAGGUCCGAAUUUAAUGGAUUUUUUCUUUAUGCCUGUAAAAACCCACGUGCGGUGUAAAUUUUUUUGAAGUUUUAAGCUACGUGGAUAAAGAUUUUUUUUAACUUGAAAACAAAGCAUAUUUUUGCCUAUUUGCUUGUGAUGACCUGAAAAGUGAACAAUAAAUAUAAAAAUGACAGUAUAGUCAUGCAUACUAUUUCGGACAUGUAGAAAAGGAAGUUAAGAUUGAGAGAAUCGCUAUACCAGUAGACGCUCGAUCAUCGUGUUUGGGGUUCACGAUUUACGUAUGUGUUCAUUGAUCCAAGAGGAAAAGAAGAAUUUGGAGUUGGGAGUGGUGUCAGUCGUGACAUUUAUUGUUCAUUUUGGGAGGAAGUAUCCAAUAGUUUAUUAAUUGAUGAAAUGGAACGUUUUCCAUUCGUUAGACACGAUAUGUACAAAGCCUGGUGGAUUGCGAUUGGAAUGAUUAUAGUAAAAGGAUAUGUAGAUGUUGGGUAUUUUCCUACCAUUCUCAGCUGUUGUUUUGUAAAUUACUGCAUGUUUGGCAGUGUAACAGAGUAAGAACUAAUUCAGUCAUUUAAGAAGUAUGUGUCAUCAGACGAAUGUUCUUUAAUUAGCAACAUAUUAGAGCCAGAUUUCGAUGGAGAUCUUGACGAUAAUGAGGAUUUGAAAGACUUCAUUGAUGUUUUCAAAUGUCGCACAUUAAAAAAAAAGAAAGUGUGGACACUGUGUUGUCUGAAAUUUCAAGGCAGGAGCUUAUUCAAAAACCUCAUUAUUAUGGCCUCCUGCUGGAAGGAAGUUUUCAUUGUCCUAAAAGAUAAAUUUCCUAACUUAAAGGCAGUUGAAUAAUUGUAUGAAAAAAUAGAACCAAUGACAAAAAGAGUCAUUAGUUUGUUUGAAGCUAAUCCUAUUACUGAAUGCGAGAAAGAGUCAUUUCAAUAUUUUAAACGGUACGUGAAAGGGCUUACAAUGUUUCAAUUGAAAAGAUUAUUGAAGUUCUUGACCCGUGCAGAUUUAAUCGUUGUUAAAAAUAUAGAAGUAGCUCUCAACUCGAAUUUAUCUGAAUUUGAGAAGCGCCCCAUAGCUCAUACGUGCACUCCUGUGCUGGAAUUACCUUCUUCCGAUAACAACUUUUGUCAAUUGCGAGAAGAUUUCACAAACAUUUUAAAUGAAAAUUUAUUUUAAGGAACUUUCUUUUUGACUGUUUUGUUGCGCUAUUUUGUUGCACUUUUUUUAGGUUUUUAAGCAACAGAAAAACGUUUUUGUUUUAUAUUCUGUUUUGGUCGGAACAGACUGCGUUAGUCUGUAUAUUUGUGGUAAUUUUGCUCAUAAAGCAGAUUUUUUUUUACCCCAAGGGUAUUUGUUUUGUUUGAAAGCUGGCCUUUCUUUCUUUUAAAAUCUUUUCUACUACAUAUAUGGGUUUCCUUAUUUAGCCCAUGAGCUCAACCCAUAAAUUUUAAGUUUUCGGCUCACCUCUUAGGAAUAAGCCAAACUUGAUUUUUUGUUAUCCUUAUUCUCUGCUUAUUGAAAAGGUAUGAUAACCUGGGUAAUUCGGUAGCUUUUGUAUAAAAUUUAGGGGCUAAAGGGUCGUCCUUAAAGUUCACAAUACGAAAUUUGUUUGGGAAACUAAAAUUAUUACAUUACUUAAAUAACAAUAACUCAUAUAAUACUGAAUAAAUAAUGAUAAAACUUUGCAAACUUGUUCAUGAUAUACUAAAACAUAAAAAAAUAUAAAAAUAUUUUUUCACGCGUGAAAAUAUUAUUUUCAGGGGGUAAAAACGGCAAAAAAUAACAACAAACAUAAAAUUCUUUUUUGGUGUUUACUCACUCUAUCAUAAUGAAAUCAAUUUUUUAGUGAAGUCUUGGACAGUAAAAUGUUAAAGCAUUUAAAAACUGUAGAUAAAAAGCUAACAUCAGUUCUCCAGGGGGUAAAAGUAAUCAAAAUGUUCUUAUUUUUAUACUAAAAAUCAAUCACUAUUUGGAAAUAAAAGAAUAUUAAACUAUCCUAAUUAGUCUUUAUAGUCGUCAUCAUAGUCUUCAUCGUCGUCAUCAUAAUCAUCAUAACCGGUAUCGUGACAUAUAUAGUUUUCGCAAUCUUGCUUUACACAAGCAUCUGUACAUGGCAAACCAUUAUCAACACAGGGACAAGAAGAAUCUUCAAUACAUUUCAUUGGGCACGUGCAGAACAACAAUUCAAGUACUUCGUCUGGAGCUGGUUUCACGUUAUUCCAUUUGAUGCAAAUUGAGUUGUCUUCAUCUACUUUCCAACCAUUUCCGAUUGGUGUUGGUAUUUCCGGCUUUGGUAUCAAACAGUUUCUCCAAAUGUGCGUUUGGUAUGUAGCUCUUGAAGAAUGAAGUUGCAGGCUGUCAAAGCAAAAUGGAAUGGAGUUGGUCUCUAGUUUCCCUUGUCUUGAAUAGUAAAGUUUGUAUCGAAGUAGGUUUGUACUUUCUCCCUUACUCUCCCUUACUUUCUCACAAAUAAACAUUUCCAAAAUUUCAAGCUGUGCGUCGGAUGUGUGUGGGCUAUUUCCAAUGACAGCAAAUUCUUCCACGUAUUUUUUGGUUCUUUAAAAUGAUCUUUAAUGGUUUCAGUUUCCCUUUGCCACUGAAUGCACUGACCGUAUCACACCCAGUAAAUGCAUGAAUCUUAAAAGUGACUUUGGAAAUAGUUCUAUGGCAUGUAGAUCGCAUUGCAUUGCAUCAUCGAUCGUUUCACCUUUUCAACAGAAAUGAUUCGCACAUUGUUUCCAGUACCAGUUCGAAUAUACAAAUUGGCAGAGAUUUGGAUGGUUGCGUUGAUGGCAAUCAAAAGGACGUCAGUGUCAGGUGUAUGAAUUAGAACAUUUUGUGCUGUUGAUUGACAUAUAUGUUGCGCAUGUAACAACAUCCUGGUGUCUGCCUCCUCUUGACUGCACUCAAGAUCUUCAACGAAAACAUUUGUACCAUCUGGCUCAAUACAUAUAAUACACACUUCUCGUCGUACGCAACAAACAGCAUCAUGUCUCCAAUAAAAGAACUUUUGCUUUGCCAUCGUCUCACGAGAAAUCUUAUUAACUCCGUCUUAUUAUUUUCAUUUGAAAGAAAAGCACUCCGUUUUCCAAAAACCAAGAAUAGUUUUAAACUGCAAUACGCCAGUUGAUCGAUGUCCUCUUUCAGCAUUUUUUAUUGAGUUUUCCCGGUAAACAUCAAACACGAUAUCAGCUUUGCACCUGGACUACAUGCUUUGCACCUGGACUACAUGAUGCUGCUUUAAGAGAUCGUCUGCAAACUCGUUAUAUGUGAGCCCAGUAGACUUGAACUUUCGUACCAAGGCCAUUCCAUCAAAAAUGAGAGAAAAAGGUGUUGGAAUUUGGUCCACAGCUGUAUAACCUUUCUCCAACUCGUGCAUAAGCUUCGAUUUGCUGGUUUUCAUUAGUUCCCUUGUUGCUUUUGCUUGUUGCGAGUGUCCAAGGAAGAGGACCAAGUGGAUAACAAAACACAUCUUUCAAAUCGAUUUUUUUCAGUUUUUUUGUAUCAGCGAGAUUUUACCAAAAGUAUCACUCUGGGCGCUGAAUUGAACCACUUGUUGUUGGUCUGUACUUUGACGGUUUUCUUCAUUGAUGCAAAAGUUCUAAGUCGUAGUUUCUUGAUUGGAUGGUAAAAGUCUACAGACGGAUUCACUAAUCGCUCUUCAAUGAACUUUUGCAGCUCUUGCUCUCCUUUAACUUCUGCCUCUAACAAAUCUUAACUUGUUCUGAUGGAAGAAAUCCUGAAGAAAGGCCCACCAAUUCCAUUUCCGUUAGGAUAUAUACGAAUGUACCACAAAAUUACAAUAUCUAAUUAAAAACAAAACAAGAAAGUUUCAGUAUGGAAAUCUGAAAUAAGAAUGAUAACCCACCCCCAACAAGAAAAAAAUUCUUUGAAUUUACCAAGUUUGUUUUCGUCUUUUUGAUAUUAUUCAAAAGUUUUUUCAUUGUGAAUGUGCUCCUGCAUUUCCGGUGAUACUUUAUAUCUGGUACAACACCAUCAGGUAAAGAUGACGAAAACGGUCUUUACUUCAAACACACUCACUCUUGUAGACUUUCUUUGUUUUAAUGUGGGAAAAAAUUUAAUACAAUGUCUUCCAUUCAAUGCAAUGUCUUCCUCACAUUAACUGUACUCUAUUAUAUCUAAGGUACACCUUCUCCCUUUCAUGGAAUUCAUUAUUUUGUCAAUAAAUCUCUUAUAAUAAUACGCUAAGUGUGUCCGUCUGUCUGUGACAGGCAAAGUGGAUGUGUUCAUUUUCCUUUGAUGUAGCCGAAAUUUCCUUUCAAGUCUCCGAAAAAGUUAUAUCCAUUUUGCUAGCUGGUUUACUUUGUUUACAUCACGUGAUCAAAAUGGAUCAACUUGAUUUGCUGAAAUAAAUUUAACGGCUUUCUGUACAAAAAUGGUGUCCCUCGACACCGAAAACAACAACAAAAAAAGAACGGUCCCUUCGUCUUGAAAAAAGUGCAAAAAGUAAUUCAGAGAAAGAAAAGUCCAAGAAGUGAAUUAAGAAGUGGUAGCUAGAGCUAGAAGUAAAGUAGUAAAGUUAGAAUUAGAAAAUAAAGGCUAGAGUUUGAAGUGGAUUUAAAAUCAAUAAUAGUAAGAACUUUGAUGUUUUUAGACGUUUAGUUUUUAUGUCACUGGAGCAAGCAGACUCGCAUUUUCCAAGAAAAGCCUCAAAUUCUUGAAGUUUUAUAUUUUAGCGCUUUUUUAAAAACAAACCUAGCCACCAUAUUUGUUUAUGUUUUUGUUGCAUAAUUAAUGUAUCCCCUGGUGCGUAACUAAUGUGUUUGUCCUAAAAUUCAAAAUGCUACAUAAAGCUGUUAGCUGACUAACAAACGGAAAACUUUGGUUUGUUGAACUUACUGCUCACUGUUAUGUUAUUAUUUUUACAUUACUAUUGUUUCUCUUUAUAUGUGUUUUACUAAGCAUAAAUAGCUAGCUUUAGUUUUAGCUAAGUGUUCCCAGGUUAAGUAUAUUUAACUGGGGGUCUUAGCUACUGUUAGCUAGCUAAUGUUGGCCUCCAAUGCCUGCUCUUCUCAUCCCAUGGCUAGCUCUAACCUAUGACUUAUAUUUUUAUUCCUUUUUUUUAAUUAUCUAUAGCUAGCUACCUUAGUUUCCUUAACUUCUUUUCUUUUAUGAGCACGAUACAAAAUCUUUAAAGUCUUGAACUUUUGCAGAUGUAUUUUAUAUUUCUUUUCGCAUUUCCUGUAAACUUUACAAAGGGACCACGUGCAAUAUGACAAGUGGAAUUUUUUUUUUCCAGAAUUUAAAGCGUCAGCCUACAUGUAAAAUGCCAGGUUAUUUUUACAGGGGGGUGUAGACAUUUGAUUGGAAAUUUACAUGGGUUUUUGACUUUAUUUUAAUUUAUGAGAGGAUAGUCAUUCGGUUCGGGAAGGUUGUUCGUGUUUUUGUUUGUGUUGCAAACUGCUGUUUUUUAAAAUUUUCUUUUUUGUGUGGGAAAAAGACCACAUGCAAUAUAUACUGAAAGCACAAAUUUUGUAGAAUUGGCCUCCACUGAAGGCUGUUGUGUAAGCUAAUGGCUUUUUCAUAGUUCGUAUUAUAAACUUUUGUUGGGGAGAAUUAAACUGUAUGUGAUGUCAUUUUUGCUGGAAGAAAAUUCCAUGGUUUCACGUUUUUGCUAAGAUUUUUAUAAUUGUGGUAAUAUAUAACUGUGUUUAUUGAUGAUGAAAAAACUUUUUUGUUUUUUAUAUUUUAUGAAAUGCCUGAUUUUUCUAUAAUUUGAUGUGUUUACCUUUUUGUAGAAGAUUUAUGGACAAUAGCAAUAUAGAACAUGCUAAAUGAACUGAUUUUUGUUGAUUUGGAUGUGCUCCUCAAAAACCGAUCUGUUUUACAUUUUGUGUUAACUUUUGUGAGGACGGACCGUAUAUGCACUUUGUUUUCCAAAAAUAAUAUCUUUGUUGAUUCAAAUUUACUCCUUAUUUAUUUUUGACAUUCACGUUUAAAAUGGUUGGUAAAGGUAACUACAGAUCAUCAUACUAAGGAAAAUUUUUUUGUGUUCUUAACCUGUUAAUUUUUACAAUUUGUGUAUAUAUAUUUUUAGGAAACAGGAUAGUAUGUAAUCGAAUAAAUGAUUUUCCAGAUAUAAAUUUGAUGUUUUUUGACACUUCUGAUUGAAAUAUUAAAGGUUUUCAACGAAGUAAAUAUUUGAGAUGUCUUAUUUCUGACUUUAUUACUGUAUUAUUGUAAGUGUUGUACUUGAUUCUAUACAUUAUUUUGAUUAGUGUUUCAAGCUCUACACAUAAUCUUUGUUGAUUCAAGUUUAUUCUUUGCUCAUUGAUUUUUUGACAUUUAUGUUUAAAAUUGCUGGUAAAGGGCAGUACGGAACUAAAAGAGAAAAUUUUUGUGUUCUUAACUGGUUGAUUUUUACAUUUUGUGUAAAUUUUUGUGGGAGAAGAUGGUAUGCAACUGAAAUGACUGAUUUUUCUAGAUUUAAAUUUGAUGUUUUCCAAACUAUGGCUUUUUCAUAUUUUUGUAUAAGCGUAAGGGGAAAACAAUAUUUAAACUGUGUAAAAAACUUAUUUUUGUUGAUUUGUGCUAACUCUUGGAGGCCUCCUUUUUGACACUUCAGAAUAAAAUACUGAGGGUUUUCAACAUAAUCACUUAUAAGAUGUAUAUACAUAUUUGAGAUGCGUUAUUUCUGACAUUGUUAUUAUCCGUGUUGUGACUGUUGGUGUUGUAACUGUCGGUCUUCUUACUGUCGGUUUUGUGAGUUUAGUGUUGUGAGUGUCGAUGUUUGAGUGUCGUUGUUGUAACUUUUUAUCAACUAGAUUUUACACCUUGCAAGCUGUUCUUUUUUAUUUUGUGUAAGAUUUGUGUGGAGGAUUUAAUGCGAUUUGAUAUUUGACAUUUUGUGUAAGAUUUUAAGAACAUUUUUUUGUAUAUGCACUGCUGACGUCAGAAAAACAUCUAAAAGAACCUAUUUUGCCAUUGUCCUUCUGCCUAAGUGGAUUUUUCCACGGGCCUUAUCGACUAGUCUAUAUAAUAAUACGCUAAGUGUGUCUGUCUGUGUGUCUGUGACAAGCAAAGUGGAUGUCUUCAUUUUCCUUUGAUGUUGCCGAAAAAUGCAUCUCUAAUAUGUCAAAUUUUCUGACGUUACGGCGCGACAAAAAUAACACUACUUUAACGUCAAUAUCCUAUAUUAAAUUAAUGAAACCAUUACAGUGCACCUAAAACUUUGAGACCAAAUAACUUGGAAACGAGGUGGUGACGUCAAUGAUUUUUCAC